GCUUUACCUCAGUGGACUCGAGUAAUUCCGUUAUCUUUUCCCUAUUUGCACCGAGAGAAUCCAACACAAAAUCUCUGAGUUGCUCCUCCAUUGAGUCCAACCCAUCUGUACGUCCCUCGACCAAUUCAAGCGUCUCUUUCACAUUUCCUACUGAUUCCUCGAGAUUGACCACUCGGUUCUCCAAAGCUGUCAGCAUUUCCCUCGAGCGACUGGCUUUUCUAGCCCUCCCACGGGUCUCCAUUGGCUCACUCUGACCAACGACUUCUUUCGACAUCCCAAC
rnacentral:lncRNA from 1 species